rnacentral:tRNA from 2 species
GGCAAGAUGGCCGAGCGGUUAAGGCGUGUGACUCAAGUUCUCAUCUCCGAAUGGAGGCGUGGGUUCAAGUCCCACUCUUGUCA